UGCCAUGCCUUUCCACAGCUUUCUUGAACUUCUCUUGUGCCUCACUCACUUCGUCAAUGGAAGCUUAAUUACUGGGAAAGCAAGAAGAGGGUCAAGAAAGCUGUGGGAAGAAAUGGCAU
rnacentral:pre_miRNA from 1 species